rnacentral:rRNA from 1 species
ACGAACGCUGGCGGCAGGCCUAACACAUGCAAGUCGAGCGAGGACUUCGGUUCUAGCGGCGGACGGGUGAGUCACGCGUGGGAAUGUGCCCUUCUCUACGGAAUAGCCCUGGGAAACUGGGAGUAAUACCGUAUACGCCCUUUUGGGGAAAGAUUUAUCGGAGAAGGAUCAGCCCGCGUUGGAUUAGGUAGUUGGUGGGGUAAUGGCCUACCAAGCCGACGAUCCAUAGCUGGUUUGAGAGGAUGAUCAGCCACACUGGGACUGAGACACGGCCCAGACUCCUACGGGAAGCAGCAGUGGGGAAUCUUAGACAAUGGGGGCAACCCUGAUCUAGCCAUGCCGCGUGAGUGAUGAAGGCCUUAGGGUUGUAAAGCUCUUUCAGCUGGGAAGAUAAUGACGGUACCAGCAGAAGAAGCCCCGGCUAACUCCGUG